CCUCUCGUAACUUACUGGUAAGGUAAUGAUACGUAAAACCAGGGACCCGGGUUCGAUUCCCGGCGAAAGUG
rnacentral:tRNA from 1 species